rnacentral:sRNA from 1 species
CUUGGUCAUUUAGAGGAAGUAAAAGUCGUAACAAGGUCUCCGUUGGUGAACCAGCGGAGGGAUCAUUACAGAGUUGCAAAACUCCCAACCAUUGUUAACCUUACCAUUACCGUUGCUUCGGCGGGUGGCUCCCUUCGGGGCGCUGCGCCCUCCCUUGCGGAAGGCAGCCCGCCAGAGGUACACUAAACUCUCGUAUUAAUUGGCAUCUCUGAGUAACUUAUAAAAUAAGUCAAAACUUUCAACAACGGAUCUCUUGGUUCUGGCAUCGAUGAAGAACGCAGCGAAAUGCGAUAAGUAAUGUGAAUUGCAGAAUUCAGUGAAUCAUCGAAUCUUUGAACGCACAUUGCGCCCGCUAGUAUUCUGGCGGGCAUGCCUGCUCGAGCGUCAUUUCAACUAUCAAGCCCUAGGUUUGUGUUGGGGCCCUGCGGCCGUCCGCAGCCCCCGAAAAGCAGUGGCGGGCUCGCUGUCACACCGAGCGUAGUAAUACAUCUCGCUUUGGACGUGCAGCGGGUUCUUGCCGUUAAACACCCCCCUUCUCAAGGUUGACCUCGGAUCAGGUAGGAAUACCCGCUGAACUUAAGCAUAUCAAUAAGCGGAGGAAAAGAAACCAACAGGGAUUGCCCUAGUAACGGCGAGUGAAGCGGCAACAGCUCAAAUUUGAAAUCUGGCUUCGGCCCGAGUUGUAAUUUGUAGAGGUGGCUUUUGGUGCGGCACCUACUGAGUCCCCUGGAACGGGGCGCCAUAGAGGGUGAGAGCCCCGUAUAGUAGGAUGCCUAGCCUGUGUAAAGCCCCUUCGACGAGUCGAGUUGUUUGGGAAU